GCCCUCGUAGCUCAAUGGACAGAGCAUCUGACUUCGGAUCAGACGGUUGAGCGUUCGAAUCGCUCCGGGGGCGCCA
rnacentral:tRNA from 1 species